GAAGUCGACAUAGAGCUGUGGAAAAUUAAUGUCUACGACUGUGAUUCCAGCGUCUGUCAUUGGACCGCCAUGGAACCCAUCCUGAAGACUUGGGGAGAACUGCUGCCCUCGCUAAUCCUUGCAACCGGGGAAUUUCCACAUAACAACCAGAUCAUGGCGUUAACUAACAGGGACAUCACGGUGCUUCCAAAAAUGCAUUCGACUCGAGCCACUCACGACUUAGUUCCGAAGUCAACAACCAGUGGUGAUUGUGGCGUCUAUUGCAUUGAGUAUGUGGAGCAUCUCAUGAUGCAACGUGGAUUGACCGAUGUGACGCCAGGCCGGAUAGCUAUGUUUCGUCAACGGUGGUGUGUUGAUUUAUUUUACCAAAAUGUCGGCUGAUUAUAUGUGUAAUUAUUGGGACAUUGUAUAUUUUGUGUAAUUAACAUUACAGUUAUGUAUAUAUAGACUUUCUCUUCGUUCAAA